rnacentral:misc_RNA from 1 species
UCUCCGUUGGUGAACCAGCGGAGGGAUCAUUACCGAGUUUACAACUCCCAAACCCCUGUGAACAUACCAUUUGUUGCCUCGGCGGUGCCUGCUUCGGCAGCCCGCCAGAGGACCCAAACCCUUGAUCUUAUACAGUAUCUUCUGAGUAAAUGAUUAAAUAAAUCAAAACUUUCAACAACGGAUCUCUUGGUUCUGGCAUCCGAUGAAGAACGCAGC